GUGAGUGAGUAAGAGAGUGAGUGUGUGAGUGAGUGUGAGUGAGUGAGUGUAGAGUGAGUGUGUGAGUGAGUGUGAGUGAGUGAGUGUAGAGUGAGUGUGUGAGUGAGUGUGUGAGUGAGUGUGUGAGUGAGUGUGUGAGUGAGUGUGUGAGUG